UAAGAGGGAGGAAGAAUGAUUCACAAACAAGUCCUGUAAGCUGCCUACAGGAGCACCACAGGGAGGAGUCCUGUUACUCAUUAUGCUGCUGUCAGCUCCAAUGAGGCCAGAAGCGCAGCAGAACAAUGGUUGUGACGUCUUGGGUGGCCAAAAGUUUCUUACAUUGUUUUCACAUUCAUUGUGUGACGCAACCACCCGCAACAAUUGCGCGCUUGAAAUUUUCUCAGAAAUGAAAGGAAGCUUUUGGGCCUGCCUGUAAGAAGCUUACUCCCCACAUAAAUGAUGUGACUUGCAAUUCAAAUCCAUAUAAAUGUACAUAUUCAUCUUCCCCAGCCCACAGAACACAGGCAAAGUUGCAGUGCAUUUAUCCUCACACGGACAGAAGCAUGACAGGAGAGGAGAGAAGACAUCAAAGAGAUUUUGCCAAACAGAGGAAUAUGGAUUUCCCACUCCCCUCCCUGAAGGAUAUUUUCAAGAUGCAAGGUUUUUCAACACACAAAUAUAUUAGCAGUGCAAAGCAAGCAGGAAAGGCUGUAACAUUUGCUGAGGUUCUACUAAACCGGCUUGGACUGUGUGUAGAGGGGGAGAAGGAUCCGGGGCCUGGCAGUUUGCCCUGAAAUUCAUAGAGGUUACAGGGUCCGCUGUGCUGCCCCAGUAACUUUUCUUCCACCUACUGCAACCCAGAAAGUAAUGUGCUCUCAAUCCAAAAGGGAAAACACAAAACAGCCAAUUCCCAUCUGAUUUUUGCAGUAUCUAGACGUGCUGGAUGAUUUGCUCCCUCCAUUUCCUUUCAGCACAGCAGUUACUUUCAGCAUCUCUCUGCUGGAGCACUGGCAGGGUAAAUAAUAGACAUAUUUCUCAACGAUCCCAACUCCUUUCUUUAAAUAUUCACACCACAGAUUUUUCAACACAACAUUUGGGGAGGUGACAGUUAUUUAUAUAAGAAUGAGAUGGGAUAUGGGACUUAACAAAAGUUAUUACACAAUGUGGUGGCAGGGAAAGACAGCUGAAUGUAGUCUACUAAACCGUAAAAUGCUGGAACCUCCAAGCUUUUUUGCAAGUUAGAAAAAAACAGAUUUUCACACUUUAAAUACACCUUUAAUUAGAGAUAUAAUCUUGAAUGGGAGAUAGAGAAGACAAUAAUUUUUACAAAAAAAAGUAUAAGAACAUACUUUCAAAUGUAUCUUCAAAGGUACUAAAGGAGUUAGGUUCUCAAAUCUUACGGGAUGGCAUAAGUAGAUUAUGGAAUCUCCACUGCAAAUGACAGCUGUAAUGUCCAUAAAAGCAGGCCUGUUUUGCAGCCAAGGUACUUAACUAGGACUCAGUAGAUUUGGGAUUCAUGCCUGGCUCUGUCUAAAUCUGCAAGCCAUUUGACUUCUCUGUGCCUCAGUUUCUCUUUCUGUGCAGCAGUACACUGAAGCUGCACAGAGAAAUUCUCAGGAUGCAGUCGCUGUAAUGUGGGGGACACACAUAAUUAUUUAGUUUAUAGUAAUUUAUGACAACUAAAAAUAAGAAGUGGGAUUGAAAAUGAGACUUACUAUAUAUGCAUAGAAGAAUAUUCAUCAUGUUAAUUACUCA